CCUACGGGUGGCAGCAGUGAGGAAUAUUGGUCAAUGGACGAGAGUCUGAACCAGCCAAGUAGCGUGAAGGAUGACUGCCCUAUGGGUUGUAAACUUCUUUUAUAUGGGAAUAAAACGUUCCACGUGUGGGAUUUUGUAUGUACCAUCUGAAUAAGGAUCGGCUAACUCCGUCCCAGCAGCCGCGGUAAUCCGGAGGAUCCGAGCGUUAUCCGGAUUUAUUGGGUUUAAGGGGGGCGUAGGUGGAUUGUUAAGUCAGUUGUGAAAGUUUGCGGCUCAACCGUAAAAUUGCAGUUGAAACUGGCAGUCUUGAGUACAGUAGAGGUGGGCGGAAUUCGUGGUGUAGCGGUGAAAUGCUUAGAUAUCACGAAGAACUCCGAUUGCGAAGGCAGUUCACUGGACUGCAACUGACACUGAGGCUCGAAAGUGUGGGUAUCAAACAGGAUUAGAUACCCGUGUAGUC
rnacentral:rRNA from 1 species